rnacentral:rRNA from 1 species
GACGAACGCUGGCGGCGUGCUUAACACAUGCAAGUCGAGCGGUAAGGCCCUUUCGGGGGUACACGAGCGGCGAACGGGUGAGUAACACGUGGGUGACCUGCCCUCAGCUCUGGGAUAAGCCUGGGAAACCGGGUCUAAUACUGGAUAUGACUCCAUGACGCAUGUUGUGGGGUGGAAAGCCUUGUGCGGCUGAGGAUGGGCCCGCGGCCUAUCAGCUUGUUGGUGGGGUGANGGCCUACCAAGGCGACGACGGGUAGCCGGCCUGAGAGGGCGACCGGCCACACUGGGACUGAGACACGGCCCAGACUCCUACGGGAGGCAGCAGUCGGGAAUUUUGGGCAAUGGGCGAAAGCCUGAACCCAGCAACGCCGCGUGAAGGAUGUAAGUUUUUCGGAAUGUAAACUUCGUAAGAAUAAGGAAGAAAUAAAUGACGGUACUAUUUGUAAGGUCCGGCUAACUACGUGCCAGCAGCCGCCGUAAC